GUGUAAUAUAAACAAAUCCAUAUGUAAUCACCACCCAGUAUCAUCCCAAACUUCAAGAUCUUUAAUGCAGCAAAAUAUUUUUGUUGCAAGUCAGGUGGAUAAUUAAGGUUUAUAUUGAGCCACCCAGUACAGGAUUGCAACAUCUUUUACCCAUUACCAAGCUUUACCCCUCAGUGAAAUGAAGACACAUUCGUGAUGAAAUAAACACAGCAGCCACGUGUGUUUCACAAUAACAUGAAACAAUCCAGAACAGGAAGUAACAUAUUUAAAAUCAUGGAAGACAUUAAAUAAAUUCAAAAAAGUAUAUUUUCCAACUUUGGCAAGGUGUGUGUGUAUCAGCACUCAUCUUCUUUCUGCAGAUCUAAUGGUCCAUUAAGAAGUUCAGUCUUUCAGCCACAAAUUACAUAAUAUGGGUAAAUUAUUAUAUAGAGAAAUUAUAAUUUUGUCAGAAUUUCUGAAAAUCUAUGCAGUGAAAAUUGGCAAAAUAUUUUGUUUCUUGACAAUCUAAAUCAGCUUAGAUUUUUAACAUGUUUGAAAAUAAACUGGAAUUCUUGUUUUUAAAAAGAUUAUCAGACUUCAGCCUUUCAGAAUACAUUCAAAAAAUUAUUAUGAUUUUUCUGAGUAUUAAUCCAAUGGAGGGUGUUCCUCAUUUUGGAAACCUGUCUCAGAAGAAGCAGCAUACAUAAACAUGCUUCAGAGAUAUUCAAAUUAAUAACAAACAGAAUGAUCAAAUAAAAACAUAAUCUCAAAUGGCUUGCUUUAAAAGCACAUUAAUUAGACAAAUUGGUAUUUUCCAGUUCAUCCAGUUCAUUUACAAAGAAAGCUCAGACUCUCUAAAAGCAGGUGUUAUGUCUGCCUCUGUAAAUUUCCAGGAUCCAGCUUUUUUCUGUCAUACAUUUGUUAAGGUUUGCAUCCACCUGUUGAAAACCAGGAAUCGAGCUGCUCUCCUUCCUCUCCACCCAUCGAUCACUACAGCUGGUGUCCACGCUGUUUUGUGAUUUUUAAAAGCCCUGCGUUAACUCCAGUUAAAUGUGAAAGCUGCGAGCAGGACUGGCUGGUGUUCUGUCCUCGCUGCUGGUGCCUCGGAAAGCACAAAUCCCUGCCGAUUGUGCCCUUGGGAGAGACUCUGCCCGUGCCAGGCAUUCCCAAAGGUCCGUGUGUGUGCCACGGCUGUUGAAGCAUCGCGGAAACAGCACAGAGCUGUUUGGUUUGGGGCACGCACCAAGCCUGGUUUGGCUCCUUCCCGCUGCUCUUGCCGUGCCUCGCUGCCUCCAGGGGUGCAAAUGGAUGGAGAAGGAUUCUGGGGCAGACAUCUGGGAUGGCUGAAGGAACUGGAUACAAUUUGGAUCUUCUCUGGGGAGCAGCAAAGAGUUCCUAGUCUCUGAGGCCAGAAAUUCAUAUUUUCUUCACUGAGUUGGAAGAAAUUGACCUGUUUGUCCCUCUCUCCCAAGAUUCAAAAAGGAAGGGACUCUUGGAGAGGCAGCAGAUUGGCCUCAAUGCCACUCAAGAGUUUUUAUUCAGCUGCUGUAUCUGAUGCCUUCCUACUUCUGAUUUUAACUGCUCUUAAAAUAUUUCUGCACUAACAAUGUGGAAUAUUAGCACACAUAAAUCUGCUGGGCUUGCUGAAACAGUUUGCCUAUAGUUUCAUUGACCUUGACAGCAAUAAACAAUAGUGUUUCCAGAGGGA